GGUCUCAGUGUGUAGGUCUCAAUGUCUGGUCUCAGUGUGUAGGUCUCAGUGUGUAGGUCUCAGUAUCUGGUCUCAGUGUCUGGUCUCAGUGUGUAGGUCUCAGUGUGUAGGUGUCAGUGUGUAGGUCUCAGUGUGUAGGUCUGAGUGUGUAGGUCUCAGUGUGUAGGUCUCAAUGUCUGGUCUCAGUGUGUAGGUCUCAGUGUGUAGGUCUCAGUAUCUGGUCUCAGUGUCUGGUCUCAGUGUGUAGGUCUCAGUGUGUAGGUCUCAGUGUGUAGGUCUCAGUGUGUAGGUCUCAGUGUCUGGUCUCAGUGUCUG
rnacentral:lncRNA from 1 species